UAUUCAACUGAGUUGAUCGCUACAGAUUUAGUUAAUGACUAGAGAGUAGACCCCUUUGCUUCUCUGUUGCAAUUAUGAGUUAAGACCAUUAUGGAAAUGUGGAUUACAUUUAUUAUUAUUAAGUUGGAAAACUUGACAACUACAAAUUCCUUUGUAAGAUUUAUCAAGACAGGUGAAGUCUGCUCUUCUUUGUUGCAGUCAUCCAGUGAAAGGUGUGACUAAAUUGAGCUGUUGCAUGCAGUCUUUGGUGCUGAUGUUGUCCUGGAGUGUGGGAGAGUCCCAUGCUUCAAGUCUUCUGGGAUCAGCCAUAUCUGAGUUGACACCGGAUCAUGCUGCAUUGUGGUUGCCAAAAUGUUGGACAUCUAGUAGAACUGCAAGAAGACUCUUUGAAAUGGUUUAUGUUUACGUAGCAGUGAUGUUGCUGUCCAAUAUGGCAUGUUGUUGCAGCCUAUACUGGUGCAAGAUUUUUUGCAUCGAGUUAUGCUGUUGCUGUUCCUUGGUGCUGUACUGCUGGUGUUGUGCAUAGAAGUUACAUCCAGUUUUAAUUGUUAAUUGUGUCUAUGCAGUUAACCGUUUAUAUGUUGAAAAGGGACAGAAAAGUUCCUUGGUGUUGAAUCGCUGGUGUUGUGCUACAUAAGUUACAUCCAGUAUUUUGUUUAAUUGCUAUUUGCGUCUAUGAAGUUAACCGUUUAUAUGUUGAGAAUGAAAAAAAAUAGUAAUACGGGGAAUUUUUACGUUGAACAAAUAAUAAACAUGCCUUCGCAAUUGGGAAACCAGCGAGAAGGAGAUUGGGGGGGGGGCAAUUGAUUUUCAUUAACUAGAAGAAGUCGUGGUUUGUUUUAAUAAGGUAGAAAUUAAAUCCUUUGUCUAUCACAUCCAUAUACCUAC